rnacentral:tRNA from 1 species
GCCAUCGUGGUGUGAUGGUCAGCACGCUCGACGCGUAACCGAGAGGUCAGUGGUUCGAUUCCCGGCGAAGGCG